rnacentral:rRNA from 1 species
GUUAGGAAUAUUGGACAAUGGGCGCAAGCCUGAUCCAGCCAUGCCGCGUGAGUGAUGAAGGCCUUCGGGUUGUAAAGCUCUUUAGCCGAUGAUUAUAAUGACUGUAGUCGGAAAAUAAGCCCCGGCUAACUUCGUGCCAGCAGCCGCGGUAAUACGAAGGGGGCGAGCGUUAUUCGGAAUCACUGGGCGUAAAGCGUGCGUAGGCGGUUUUGUAAGUUGGGAGUGAAAGCCCAGGGCUCAACCCUGGAAUUGCUCUCAAAACUACAAGACUUGAAUUCGGGAGAGGAUAGCGGAAUUGUCAGUGUAGCAGUGAAAUGCGUAGAUAUUGACAGGAACACCAGUGGCGUAAGCGGCUAUCUGGACCGACAUUGACGCUGAGGCACGAAAGCGUGGGGAUCAAACAGGAUUAGAUACCCGAGUAGUCC